rnacentral:misc_RNA from 1 species
GGAAGGAUCAUUAGAGGUUAAAAACAUAUAUAAUCAGUUGCCGGGGUUGCCUACACUAUAAAAGGGGAAGGUCGAAGUGAAGCUUCGCUGUUGUCGUUGCGGGACACAGUGAUUCUUCUACUGAGACUAGCUCCUGCUGCGGUCUAUGAACGUCCUCUCCGCAAGAGGGCCAGUAAUAGUCCAAGGCGAAAAAAUGUUGCUCUUUAAAAUAGGGGUCCUUUGCUUAUAGGUUCAGCUCUACUCAAUUGCGCGAGUAGACUGCCUUUAGCAAUGGGACAGCCUUUCCGACAGCUUCUGAAUUCUCUCCGAGCGCAAAGGGAGAAGUGGGGGCUGAAGGAUAAACCCUUAUGCAGUUAACUUAAGCAGUGCUAUGUAAAAAAAUUACCUAUACAACUUCUAGCGGUGGAUGUCUCGGCUUACGUAACGAUGAAGAACGUAGCAAACUGCGAUAAUUGAUGGAAAUUGCAGAAUACUUCGACUCAUCGAGUUUUUGAAUGCAACCUGCGCCUAGGUCAUUACAUGGCUUAGGCGUACUUGGUUGAGAUCGAUUUAUAACAUAUCCCAAACAAAGGGGACUUGGGAGGCUCAAAGGUAGUUAGAAGCAGGAUUAACUACCCUCCUUUAAAUGGUAGGAAGGCGCAGCUCUAAUUAAAAAAAGAGCUCGGGCGCACCCUACCCCUCGAUCCGAAAGGUGGCUUGUAGGGACUUGUAAUUUAUUUACGGGUCAAGGGUUAAGUUCCUCUUUAGCAGGGCUAAACUCACUACGGUACUGGAGUUCGUAGGUUAUAUUGGUCAGGGACCGCGCGACUACUAUCCUGCCUAGUCAACUAUUGGCUUAGGACACGGCUCUGGGAUGUCGUAGGUGGUAUUCCUAAUUAGUCUCCAUACCUUCGUAGUCUAUCAACCACUUAAUCAAAGAGGGGGAAGGGCAUCCAGUCUGAAUAUACAAGCAGAGCUGGUGCCUCGUUUACAACCUAAACAAAUAACCUUUUAAAUCAUCGACUCAACUCAAGUACGGCUACCUGCUGAAUUUAAGCAUAUCAUUAGGCGGAGGAAAAGAAAUUAACUAAGAUUCCCCCAGUAAUGGCGAAUGAACAGGGAAAAGCUCAGCCUGAAUCGGUGGGGACUAGUCUUCUCAUCGAGAUGUAGGGUUUCGACUGGUCUAAGUGGGUCGGCCUCAAGCUAAAGUCACCUGGAACGGUGCACCAUAGAGGGUGAAAGUCCCGUAGGCUAUUAAUGGGGAAGGUUUACAUAUUGGCUGGAUCGUAGAGUCGGGUUGCUUGGGAGUGCAACUCUAAUCGGGUGAUAAACUUCAUCCAAAGCUAAAUAUUGACGUAAGACCGAUAGCGAACAAGUACCGUGAGGGAAAGAUGAAAAGAACUUUGAAAAGAGAGUUAAAAGUACCUGAAACCGCUAGAAGGUAAGCGGUCGGCACCAUCAUUGGAGCCUUUACAAUUCAACCGCUAGGUGUGGAAGCUGGAGUUUGUUAGUAGGCCUCUUAUGGGUCGCUGCAGGUUCUUGCCAAGCAUUUGGCGGGGCACUUUGUGGAGGUGACACGUCAGGGUCAUUUUUUGUCGGGAGAAAACAAGCCUGCUGAGGAGGUAACCAGCCGCUGGUUGGCGAAACUCGGUGGAUGCUUAUCUUGGCUUGGAGUGAGGGUUCUUAAGGGAACACGGGUGGGGGUAUUCUUGGUUAGGGCGCUCUACUUCGGUAGGGUCUCGAGUCCAUAACCCACCCUAGACCACGACGCUGAUGGAAUCGACCGUCCCGUCUUGAAACACGGACCAAGGAGUGUAAAUGAUGUGCGAGUCUUAGGGUGAGCAAACUCAAGGGCGCAAUGAAAGUGAGGAUACACCUGAAGCCCGUAAGGGAUCUGCAAGGUGGGCCGGUAGCAGUUUACGAACUGUUAUCCGAGCAGGAGCGUAUCGUUUACGACCCGAAAGGUGGCGAACUAUGCUUGUGUAGGACGAAGCCAGAAGAAAUUCUGGUGGAAGUUCGUAGCGGUAUUGACGUGCAAAUCAUUCGUCAAACAUGAGUAUAGCGGCGAAAGACUAAUCGAGCCGCCUAGUAGCUGGUUCCUCU